AUAUAAAUACUUCUGAGUAUGAGUCUGGGUUUCCCAAGGGAAAAGGUCUUUACAAAUGAGGAUUUCAAAUAUAGCAUGGGAUCUCUUUUUCUAUAGCUAUGGAACUUUUUUGUUUGAUCUAAGGUUUUAUUUUGUGUUUAUGGGUGUUUAGGCUGCCUGUAUUUAUGUACACUUCCUAUGUGACUGGUGCCUGCUAAGGUCAGAAUAAGGUGUCAGAACCCCUGGAACUGGAGUUAUAGAUUGUUGCACCAUCAUGUGGGGCUGGGAAUCAAACCAGUUCCCCUGGAAGAGCAGCUGUUGAUGUCAACUGCAGAUCCAUCUCUCCAGCUCCCUUCUGUAGCUUCUAUCUUAAAAUAGAUCAUAUAUCAUGUGAGCUUUUUACUGGGGAGCUACCAGAUAAGGAACCAGUGGCAGACCAAAGUAAUGAUUUUACUGUUUGUCUGCUUCAUCAAGCCAGUGAAUUUAUUGAGGUUACUUAUCAGAGUAUAGGUGAGGGGUUCCAACAGAAGAAUGGACAACUCAAAGCCAACUGUGUCACCACAGCUUGAGUUACAACAAAAAGCCCACCCAAGCUUGAGUUACAACAAAAGCUGCAACUGUGGUGUGUGCUGCAUGACAUUCGGGCAGCUCAGGAGGUUGGAGUAUCCUUUGGGUAGCUUGGUUGGAGAGUCUCCUUGUUCAGAAGGUGUUUACUGCUUCCAUAACCAUGUAGAGGGGGUCUUGUAUAUCUUAUUAGUUUUAGGAACUUCUUGAGACUUGAGUUGUUUACCUCAAUUCAAGGCAUCUCCCUUCUUACUUGUAUGAAAGUUUUGCCACAGUUUAUACCAGCAGGAGUGUGUUGCCUGGUAUUUUGCCACCAUGACAUUUAGCAUUCAUGGCUGAUCAGGAAUGUUGAUGAGAGUUUCUUUCUGGCUGCCUACACAGCAACUUCCGGCUCUACAGAGGCCAGCUAGUAAGGCGAGCAUUUCCAGGCCAGUUGCUACUUAACACCAUAACAGUUUUUCCUUUUAUAUGAAUUUUGCUCUAUUAGGAGGCAAGGAUGGAAGGGGCAAGGGCUCAGCAGACCAAAUGAGAUUAGAGAAUUAAGGAGAGAGUUUUCAAAAUUUACCUUUAGUUAUGAUAUAACCCUAAAUUUUAAAAAAUAAUUUCCUAUUUUUAACAACUUUUAAUUUAGAUGUAGUUCCUAGUUUUUUUUUUUAAUUUGUAAGUUGCUAAAUUUAUUGUUUGUUGUCUUUAGAUGUUUUAAAAUCCCAGUUAAAGAGGGUGCUCAUUAUGUCUUAAAAAAUUCUAUUACGAUGUUCAGUAAAGCGUACAAACAACAGCAACAGCAACAACAGUUUAGAGAUAUUAAAUAAUGUUCCCUAUUGAGUGAAUCAAGCUAUAAAGGCAAGUUCUCUUAAGUUAGAUCCUGUAUUUGUUACUUUUCUGUCACUAUGAGAAAACAGCAUGACAUGAAGCAACAUAGAGGAGGAAGAGCUUAUUUGAGCUUCCAGGCCAUCACACUGGAGAAGUGUGGCAGCUAGCGGCAGGCAUGGAGGCUAGCAGCAGGCAUGGUGGCGGUAGCAGGAAGUCAAGAGUUUGCAUCUCAUCCUCAAGAGAGAAGCAGAGGGGAAAUAGAAGUGGUGUGGGUCUUUAAAGUCUUGACGUUGAUCUCUGGUGACAUACUUCCUUCAUUAAGGACACACUCUGUAAGCCCCCUAAACAGUGGUACCAAUGAUGUCCUCAUGCAAACCACUGCAGAGCAGAUGUUCAGCUACCUUUC
rnacentral:lncRNA from 1 species